UGGGGUAAUAUUGGACAAUGGGCGAAAGCCUGAUCCAGCCAUGCCGCGUGUGUGAAGAAGGUCUUCGGAUUGUAAAGCACUUUAAGUUGGGAGGAAGGGCAGUUACCUAAUACGUGAUUGUUUUGACGUUACCGACAGAAUAAGCACCGGCUAACUCUGUGCCAGCAGCCCCCGGGUUAAUACAAA
rnacentral:rRNA from 1 species